GAGUUUGAUCCUGGCUCAGGAUGAACGCUAGCGGCAGGCCUAACACAUGCAAGUCGAGGGGCAGCAUGGCGUAGCGAUACGCUGAUGGCGACCGGCGCACGGGUGCGUAACGCGUAUGCAACCUGUCCGGCGCAGGGGGGUAGCCCGUCGAAAGGCGGGGUAAUCCCGCAUGAACCGGUAUUCCCGCAUGGGGGUGCCGGCAAAGUGGAGACGCGGGGCCGGAGGGGCAUGCGUGCCAUUAGCUGGCUGGUGGGGUAACGGCCCACCAGGGCGAUGAUGGCUAGGGGGUCUGAGAGGAUGGUCCCCCACACUGGUACUGAGACACGGACCAGACUCCUACGGGAGGCAGCAGUGAGGAAUAUUGGUCAAUGGGCGGAAGCCUGAACCAGCCAUGCCGCGUGCAGGAAGGAGGCCCUACGGGUUGUAAACUGCUUUUACCCGGGAAGAAACCGCCCCCUGUGGGGGGCGUUGCCGGUACCGGGGGAAAAAGGAUCGGCUAACUCCGUGCCAGCAGCCGCGGUAAUACGGAGGAUCCGGGCGUUAUCCGGAAUUACUGGGUUUAAAGGGUGCGUAGGCGGGGCUUUAAGCCGGCGGUGAAAUGCAGCGGCUCAACCGCUGGAAUGCCGUUGGGACUGGGGCUCUUGGAUACGGUCGGGGCGGGUGGAACUCGUGGUGUAGCGGUGAAAUGCAUAGAUAUCACGAGGAACGCCGGUAGCGAAGGCAGCUCGCCGGGCCGGUAUUGACGCUGAGGCACGAAAGCGUGGGGAUCGAACAGGAUUAGAUACCCUGGUAGUCCACGCCGUAAACGAUGAGGGCUGGGGUGUGGCGAUAGACGGUCAGCGCCUGAGGGAAACCAUUAAGCCAUCCACCUGGGGAGUACGGCCGCAAGGCUGAAACUCAAAGGAAUUGACG
rnacentral:rRNA from 1 species